UGUGGGAGCUGGCUUGCCAGCGAUGGCAUCAGUGCAGUCAACAUCUUCAUCGGCUGCUCUAACGCUAUCGCUGGCAAGCCAGCUCCCACA
rnacentral:antisense_RNA from 1 species